rnacentral:tRNA from 1 species
GGCCGGAUGGCAGAGUGGUUAUGCAGCGGAUUGCAAAUCCGUGUACGCCGGUUCGAUUCCGACUUCGGCCUCCA